ACGGGUGCGUAACGCGUGGGAAUCUGCCCUUAGGUUCGGAAUAACAGCUGGAAACGGCUGCUUAUACCGGAUGAUAUCGCGAGAUCAAAGAUUUAUCGCCUGAGGAUGAGCCCGCGUUGGAUUAGGUAGUUGGUGGGGUAAAGGCCUACCAAGCCGACGAUCCAUAGCUGGUCUGAGAGGAUGAUCAGCCACACUGGGACUGAGACACGGCCCAGACUCCUACGGGAGGCAGCAGUGGGGAAUAUUGGACAAUGGGCGCAAGCCUGAUCCAGCAAUGCCGCGUGAGUGAUGAAGGCCCUAGGGUUGUAAAGCUCUUUUACCCGGGAAGAUAAUGACUGUACCGGGAGAAUAAGCCCCGGCUAACUCCGUGCCAGCAGCCGCGGUAAUACGGAGGGGGCUAGCGUUGUUCGGAAUUACUGGGCGUAAAGCGCACGUAGGCGGCUUUGUAAGUCAGAGGUGAAAGCCUGGAGCUCAACUCCAGAACUGCCUUUGAGACUGCAUCGCUUGAAUCCAGGAGAGGUCAGUGGAAUUCCGAGUGUAGAGGUGAAAUUCGUAGA
rnacentral:rRNA from 1 species